UUCCUGCGGUUCGUCGCGGACUGCGUGGAGCGGCCCGGGAUGCUGCUGCGGGCGCUGUAGGGGCGCCCGGGGCCGGUUCGGGGCCGGGCCGGGGCC
rnacentral:tRNA from 1 species